GAUAAUUCAGUAUUUCUUUUCUUAUUCCACUGAAUAUCUCAGUCUUUACCCUGUGCAGAAUGUUCUCUACAAGUCUGGAGGAAUAAUUUCCAUUCAUCAGCCAUGGCCUAUCAAAGAAAUUACUGCUGAACUCAAAAUAAUGUUUUUCCUCUGAAGCUGAUGCUAAGGUUUGGUGAGGAUCUAUCCUGAUACUAGCUAUUACCGGCUUGGUCUCUCCUGGCCAUAUUCUUCAAAGCUGGAAAGUAAGAAUUUACUCAUUUCGAUGGAGCUUCUCAGGAAGAAAAUCAAAUCAGUCCUAUGAUUUGCCACAUAUAUUAUUAUAACGGCAUUAGGUGUUUGCUAUCCAACACAUUUGUGGCCAAUUCUCACUUAGAAAUGUAAUAAACCCAGGCAAGGCUAAACCUUCUUGGAAAAGAUAGCAAUGAGUUAAAUCUUUCUUUCUUUCUCUUUCUCUCUUUUUUUUUCCUCAGAGGAAAAUGUUCUGUCAUGAUGUGGUUUGUGUGACAGCCCAAAGUGCACAUAAGUUCUUCCUUUUGAGUUAGCUGUGUGAGGUCAUUGCUGUGAUUGCUUUGAACCUUUGGAUACAAAUAAGACCAUUUCUGAUGAAAUCAUAAAUUGCCUCCAUUAAGAGACCUAAAACAGUUUAAACUGUCACCACUGGUAUUCUUAUCGCUCUUGGAUAAGUCACUUCAGGCUGCUGAAAUUUUAUUUUUAAUAACGGCAAAUGUGUUAUGCCAGCCAUAACACUACUUACAGUCACUGUCACAUACAUGACUUCUAUAGUGGCAGUUUGAUUUGCAGAGGCAAUGGGAAUGUCUGCUGCCAGCCUCAGAAUGGAUGAGGAACCAAAUCUGUCAUGAACCUUGAAAACUUAAUAUAUCACUAACGACAGUUAAUUUAGUGGCUGGGUCCCAUGUAGGCAAGAGAAUUAAUUGCAAAACUCCUGGAAAUGAAGAUCUCCAACUUUGCUGCUGGAACCAAGUCCAAACUACUUCGUUCUUGAACUCCACAGAAGCCUAAAGAGAAAAAGAUCUUCUUAAAUGACACCAACAAUAUAACUGAAGGGAUCCCAAAGCAUGAAAGAAAUAGACCUUUUUCUGAAGAAUGGAGGCAAUUUUCAGCAGGGUAUCAGGUGGGCUGUUUCAAACAACCAGUAGCAGCGACAGCAGAUGGAGAAAGAAGAAAUGGCAAAUGACCAAACUCUGCACAAGUUCUGUCUUUUUUAUUACCUGCAUUGUGAUGUCACUCACUGAUAUGAAAGGGACAAAAAUUG